rnacentral:rRNA from 1 species
GAUGAACGCUGGCGGCGUGCUUAAUACAUGCAAGUCGAGCGAACAGACGAGGAGCUUGCUCCUCUGACGUUAGCGGCACACGGGUGUGUAACACGUGGAUCACCUACCUAUAAGAGUGGGAUAACUUCGGGAAACCGGAGCUAAUACCGGAGAAUAUAUUGAACCGCAUGGUUCGUUAGUGAAAGACGGCUUUGGUGUCACUUCUAGAUGGAUACCGGCCGCAUUAGCUAGUUGGUAAGGUAACGGGUUAGCAAGGCUACGAGGCGUAGCCGAACUGAGGGGGGGGUCGGCCGCACUGGAGGUUAGACACGCUCAAUACUCCUACGAGAGGCAGCAGUCGGGAAUGGGCGGCAAUGGGCGGAAGCCUGACGGAGCAGCCCGGCGUGAGUUGUGGAAGUCUUCGGAUCGUGAAGCUCUGUUAUUGGGGGUGAACCAAUGUGUAAGUAGCUAAGCCGGGCUUGACGGUACUGGGUCAGAAAGCCCCGGCUAACUACGUG